GCUGUUGCAACUUUCUAUUCAUCUGCAAUUCAUUGUUAAUAGUUUAGCAAAAUACUAAAUUGAAAACAUUACAUAACACAGCAGUGAAUUGACCUCAAGAAUCCACCUCCUCCCUGAGUUGGUCAUCAAUUAAAGCAAUCCAUGCAAAACAAAUUUAUAUCAAUUGUCCAAGGAUUUUGAAGUCAACACUAGAAAAGCCUCGAUGUAGCUGUCUGUUUGGCGCAGUUGCAUUUUUCACUUUUUGCUAUUUUAAGUGCAAAAAUUAAUAAAAUAGGCAAUAUUUAAAAAGUAUAAAAAAAAAAAUUUCCUCUUGUCGUUUAAAGUAAAUAUUUAUUAAAUAUACUUUCUUAUUAUAAAGUUUGCUUUCUAAAAAAUCAAAAUUUAUAAAAUAUAACUUUAUGAAGGAAAAUA
rnacentral:misc_RNA from 1 species